GGUAGAAUGGCCGAGGGUUAGGUGGUGGCUUGUAGCUCCAUGUACGGGGGUUCAAAUCCCCUUUCUACCA
rnacentral:tRNA from 1 species